GAUGAACGCUGGCGGCGUGCCUAAUACAUGCAAGUCGAGCGAACAGACGAGGAGCUUGCUCCUCUGACGUUAGCGGCGGACGGGUGAGUAACACGUGGAUAACCUACCUAUAAGACUGGGAUAACUUCGGGAAACCGGAGCUAAUACCGGAUAAUAUAUUGAACCGCAUGGUUCAAUAGUGAAAGACGGUUUUGCUGUCACUUAUAGAUGGAUCCGCGCCGCAUUAGCUAGUUGGUAAGGUAACGGCUUACCAAGGCAACGAUGCGUAGCCGACCUGAGAGGGUGAUCGGCCACACUGGAACUGAGACACGGUCCAGACUCCUACGGGAGGCAGCAGUAGGGAAUCUUCCGCAAUGGGCGAAAGCUUGACGGAGCAACGCCGCGUGAGUGAUGAAGGUCUUCGGAUCGUAAAACGCUGUUAUUAGGGAAGAACAAAUGUGUAAGUAACUAUGCACGUCUUGACGGUACCUAAUCAGAAAGCCACGGCUAACUACGU
rnacentral:rRNA from 1 species